rnacentral:misc_RNA from 1 species
GAUGAAGAACGUAGUGAAACGCGAUAAGUAAUGUGAAUUGCAGAAUCCAGUGAAUCAUCGAAUCUUUGAACGCACAUUGCGCCCCUUGGUAUUCCAUGGGGCAUGCCUGUUCGAGCGUCAUUUGUACCUUCAAGCUUUGCUUGGUGUUGGGUGUUUGUCUCGCCUUUGCGUGUAGACUCGCCUUAAAAUAAUUGGCAGCCGGCGUAUUGAUUUCGGAGCGCAGUACAUCUCGCGCUUUGCACUCAUAACGACAGCGUCCAAAAGUACAUUUUACACUCUUGACCUCGGAUCAGGUAGGGAUACCCGCUGAACUUAAGCAUAUCAAUAAGCGGAGGA